GUCCAGUUCUCUAGUCGAAGACAUGGAAGGCUUGCUUGGAAAGUACCUCCUCUUGCUGGUUGCUGCCACACUCGUUACGCUGAUUAUUGCCCCAUACGAAGCUGGCGCAGUUCCACCGAUGGCCCUCGAGCUUAUCCGACAGGGCCCUGUUGGACGAAAUGAAGAAAAUGCCAAGUAUUGACACAUCUGUCUUCGCGAUACAGUGCGGUCAGUCUGUGCUGCAUUGACGACGCCUGCUUCAUAUUCAAUAAAAUGAAUAAAGCAAGAAA